GGGGGGGGGGGGGGGGGGGGGGGGGGGGGGCGGGGCGGGGGGGUGGGGGGGGCUUGCUCCUGGAUUCAGCGGCGGGCGGGUGAGUAAUGCCUAGGAAUCUGCCUGGUAGGGGGGGAUAACGGCCGGAAACGGGCGCUAAUACCGCAUACGUCCUGAGGGAGAAAGUGGGGGAUCUUCGGACCUCACGCUAUCAGAUGAGCCUAGGUCGGAUUAGCUAGUUGGUGGGGUAAAGGCCUACCAAGGCGACGAUCCGUAACUGGUCUGAGAGGAUGAUCAGUCACACUGGAACUGAGACACGGUCCAGACUCCUACGGGAGGCAGCAGUGGGGAAUAUUGGACAAUGGGCGAAAUCCUGAUCCAGCCAUGCCGCGUGUGUGAAGAAGGUCUUCGGAUUGUAAAGCACUUUAAGUUGGGAGGAAGGGCAGUAAGUUAAUACCUUGCUGUUUUGACGUUACCAACAGAAUAAGCACCGGCUAACUUCGUG
rnacentral:rRNA from 1 species